UCCGUGAGCCACUGGGUCGAGAAUCCAGCAGAGAAACCGUCCUUCUUUCUGCUCUUGCUUCUAUUCUCGUUCCGUCUGUAUAUCUUUUUUAUACGUUUAUCUCUGUCUCUUUUCUCCACUUAUUUGCUGGGUCCCUGCCAGGCGUUAGGACGUCCGGGGUGAAUCAGGAACCCGGACAACAGCAAACUUGCAGUCUAGUGGUCAAGAUAGGCUUCUUGACCACCAGCUGAACCAGAGGCUCCAGUCCAGUGCGGUGGGAUAAUCAAAGCGACCACGAUGAAAAAUCCAAGUCUCAGAUUAAGUAACAUCCCCCAAGAGAGCCACGAUCAGAAUCCAAGUCACCCUGGAUCCAAAACUAGUGGUUCUGUACUGCGUGGAUUCAUGGAAGAGGGCAAUUGUCACCUCCUCUGAGCAGCUUUCUCCAGCUCCUGCAGUCCAAAAGGUCGUUCCUUCUCUGUGCUUGGGGCCGCCUGUGAAGUGUCUUUAUGCCUGCGGUUGCAUACACUGUGCUCCAGCAUCGUCGCCCAUCUCCCCAGGAGACACUGAACACUUCUGUAAAUGAGACAAGGUCUCACCGUCCCGUGUCUGUCCCAGCCCUUAACCCUGUGCCUGGCUUAUCACUGGCACUUAAUAGA